GACGGACGCUGGCGGCGUGCUUAACACAUGCAAGUCGAACGAUGAUCAGGAGCUUGCUCCUGUGAUUAGUGGCGAACGGGUGAGUAACACGUGAGUAACCUGCCCCUGACUCUGGGAUAAGCGUUGGAAACGACGUCUAAUACUGGAUACGACUGCCGGCCGCAUGGUCUGGUGGUGGAAAGAUUUUUUGGUUGGGGAUGGACUCGCGGCCUAUCAGCUUGUUGGUGAGGUAAUGGCUCACCAAGGCGACGACGGGUAGCCGGCCUGAGAGGGUGACCGGCCACACUGGGACUGAGACACGGCCCAGACUCCUACGGGAGGCAGCAGUGGGGAAUAUUGCACAAUGGGCGAAAGCCUGAUGCAGCAACGCCGCGUGAGGGAUGACGGCCUUCGGGUUGUAAACCUCUUUUAGUAGGGAAGAGGCGAAAGUGACGGUACCUGCAGAAAAAGCACCGGCUAACUACGUGCCAGCCGCCGCCGUAA
rnacentral:rRNA from 1 species